AUUGAACGCUGGCGGCAGGCCUAACACAUGCAAGUCGAGCGAGCGGCGGACGGGUGAGUAAUGUAUGGGGACUGCCCGAUAGAGGGGGAUAAUACUGGAAACGGUAGCUAAUACCGCAUACUAUUGGAUGGCCGAUAUGGGAUUAGCUAGUUGGUGAGGUAAAGGCUUACCAAGGCAACGAUCCGUAGCUGGUUUGAGAGGACGACCAGCCACACUGGGACUGAGACACGGCCCAGACUCCUACGGGAGGCAGCAGUGGGGAAUAUUGGACAAUGGGGGAAACCCUGAUCCAGCCAUCCCGCGUGUAUGAUGAAGGCCUUCGGGUUGUAAAGUACUUUCAGCAGGAAGCGGUUCUGCAGAAUAAGCACCGGCUAACUACGUGCCAGCAGCCGCGGUAAUAC
rnacentral:rRNA from 1 species